ACUGCAAGACUGGCCUUUGAUCUUACGACCCAGUCCCGUAAGCGUUCUAACCCCAUUUCUGGUUCCUCUGGUCACAGCACAAAUUUCCAGCUGGAAGGGGAAUGGAGACUAUGGGACCUAGGAGCAAGAGGUUCCAGGCUGCCUCACUCCCUUAUAGAUGUUGACGUUAAAAGAAUAUUGGCAGAAAAACAGCCCUAGAGUUCCAGCAGGAGCGAACAGGAACAGGAAAACAAAUGGCAGUAUCCCUGAGACAGCCACUUCUGGUGGUUGCCAGUCACCUGGGGAUUCAGCAACAGGUUUCCACAGGGAAGGCCCUACAGCAUCUGCUACCCUGAAAGAUCUGGAGAGCCCGUGCCAAGAACGAGCAGUAGUCCUGGAUUCAAGGUUCGUAGGAAUCAGUCAACUGAAGAACACCAUCAAAUCUUUGAAACAACAGAAGAAACAAGUGGAACAUCAGCUGGAAGAAGAAAAGAAAGCAAACAACGAGAGACAGAAAGCCGAAAGGGAGCUAGAGGUUCAAAUCCAGACAUUGAACAUACAGAAAGAGGAACUAAAUACAGACCUGUACCACAUGAAACGUUCUCUCAGAUACUUUGAAGAAAAGUCCAAGGAUCUGGCUGUCCGCCUGCAACAUUCAUUGCAGCGUAAAGGAGAGUUAGAGAGUGUUCUCUCUGAUGUCAUGGCCACACAGAAGAAGAAGGCAAACCAGGUGAGUCCAGCCACCUGCCCCAUCCCCUGGGAGCCUGGCUUUGCAGAUGGAGGAGUGAGCCUAAAGGUCCCUUCUGCAGGAUGGCAUGUCCUGCCCAGAAGGCAGCAUGGCCGUUUCUUGCUACUUUUUUGUAUGGUUUUUAGUGGCAGCCUGGGGCUGAGUCAGCUGCUGUGGGUGAGUUGGGGGUCACUGUGUGGAGUGAGCACUGGACGCAGAGCUUGGAGGCCAAGUGCCUGCCCCGCCCUUACCUGGCUGUGGUCUUGGGCAAGUCCUAGGUGGGGUAUUGGGUACUUGUACUGUGAAGGUACAGAAGAGUACCUUUAGUAUGUUACCAUUUCUGUAGAAAGAGGAAACGUGUGCAUGUGUGUGUGUGUGUGUGUGUGUGUGUGUACAUACUAUGAUAAUAUACAUAAAACAUGUCUGCAAGGGUUCAUAAAAAAUUCAGGAGAGAGCAACAAGAUGGCCGGGAGAUACUUCCCUUCUGUACCUUCUGAGUUUUGAACUAUGCAAAUGUAUCAUCCUUUCAAAAAGUGAACAAAAGAUUAAUUUUCCCCUUCCUAUCUG
rnacentral:sRNA from 1 species